rnacentral:rRNA from 1 species
UAGGGAAUCUUCGGCAAUGGACGAAAGUCUGACCGAGCAACGCCGCGUGAGUGAAGAAGGUUUUCGGAUCGUAAAACUCUGUUGUUAGAGAAGAACAAGGACGUUAGUAACUGAACGUCCCCUGACGGUAUCUAACCAGAAAGCCACGGCUAACUACGUGCCAGCAGCCGCGGUAAUACGUAGGUGGCAAGCGUUGUCCGGAUUUAUUGGGCGUAAAGCGAGCGCAGGCGGUUUCUUAAGUCUGAUGUGAAAGCCCCCGGCUCAACCGGGGAGGGUCAUUGGGAACUGGGAGGAUUGAGUGCAGAAGAGGAGAGUGGAAUUCCAUGUGUAGCGGUGAAAUGCGUAGAUAUAUGGAGGAACACCAGUGGCGAAGGCGGCUCUCUGGUCUGUAACUGACGCUGAGGCUCGAAAGCGUGGGGAGCAAACAGG